CCUGUAGCUCAGUGGAGAGAGCACCGGAAUCCGGAUCCGGGAGCGGGGGUUCGAUUCCCUUCAGGU
rnacentral:tRNA from 1 species